GGUUAAGCGACUAAGCGUACACGGUGGAUGCCCUGGCAGUCAGAGGCGAUGAAGGACGUGCUAAUCUGCGAAAAGCGUCGGUAAGGUGAUAUGAACCGUUACAGCCGGCGAUGUCCGAAUGGGGAAACCCAGUGUGAUUCGUCACACUAUCGUUAACUGAAUACAUAGGUUAACGAGGCGAACCGGGGGAACUGAAACAUCUAAGUACCCCGAGGAAAAGAAAUCAACCGAGAUUCCCCCAGUAGCGGCGAGCGAACGGGGAGCAGCCCAGAGUCUGAAUCAGCUUGUGUGUUAGUGGAACGGUCUGGAAAGUCCGACGGUACAGGGUGAUAGUCCCGUACACCAAAAUGCACAGGCUGUGAACUCGAAGAGUAGGGCGGGACACGUGGUAUCCUGUCUGAAUAUGGGGGGACCAUCCUCCAAGGCUAAAUACUCCUGACUGACCGAUAGUGAACCAGUACCGUGAGGGAAAGGCGAAAAGAACCCCGGCGAGGGGAGUGAAAAAGAACCUGAAACCGUGUACGUACAAGCAGUGGGAGCACCUUCGGGUGUGACUGCGUACCUUUUGUAUAAUGGGUCAGCGACUUAUAUUCUGUAGCAAGGUUAACCGUAUAGGGGAGCCGCAGGGAAACCGAGUCUUAACUGGGCGUUAAGUUGCAGGGUAUAGACCCGAAACCCGGUGAUCUAGCCAUGGGCAGGUUGAAGGUUGGGUAACACUAACUGGAGGACCGAACCGACUAAUGUUGAAAAAUUAGCGGAUGACUUGUGGCUGGGGGUGAAAGGCCAAUCAAACCGGGAGAUAGCUGGUUCUCCCCGAAAGCUAUUUAGGUAGCGCCUCGUGAACUCAUCUUCGGGGGUAGAGCACUGUUUCGGCUAGGGGGUCAUCCCGACUUACCAACCCGAUGCAAACUACGAAUACCGAAGAAUGUUAUCACGGGAGACACACGGCGGGUGCUAACGUCCGUCGUGAAGAGGGAAACAACCCAGACCGCCAGCUAAGGUCCCAAAGUCAUGGUUAAGUGGGAAACGAUGUGGGAAGGCACAGACAGCCAGGAUGUUGGCUUAGAAGCAGCCAUCAUUUAAAGAAAGCGUAAUAGCUCACUGGUCGAGUCGGCCUGCGCGGAAGAUGUAACGGGGCUAAACCAUGCACCGAAGCUGCGGCAGCGACACUAUGUGUUGUUGGGUAGGGGAGCGUUCUGUAAGCCUGCGAAGGUGUGCUGUGAGGCAUGCUGGAGGUAUCAGAAGUGCGAAUGCUGACAUAAGUAACGAUAAAGCGGGUGAAAAGCCCGCUCGCCGGAAGACCAAGGGUUCCUGUCCAACGUUAAUCGGGGCAGGGUGAGUCGACCCCUAAGGCGAGGCCGAAAGGCGUAGUCGAUGGGAAACAGGUUAAUAUUCCUGUACUUGGUGUUACUGCGAAGGGGGGACGGAGAAGGCUAUGUUAGCCGGGCGACGGUUGUCCCGGUUUAAGCAUGUAGGCUGAUUAUCCAGGCAAAUCCGGAUAAUCAAGGCUGAGGUGUGAUGACGAGGCACUACGGUGCUGAAGUAACAAAUGCCCUGCUUCCAGGAAAAGCCUCUAAGCAUCAGGUAACAUUAAAUCGUACCCCAAACCGACACAGGUGGUCAGGUAGAGAAUACCAAGGCGCUUGAGAGAACUCGGGUGAAGGAACUAGGCAAAAUGGUGCCGUAACUUCGGGAGAAGGCACGCUGGUGUGUAGGUGAAGUCCCUGCGGAUGGAGCUGAGACCAGUCGAAGAUACCAGCUGGCUGCAACUGUUUAUUAAAAACACAGCACUGUGCAAACACGAAAGUGGACGUAUACGGUGUGACGCCUGCCCGGUGCCGGAAGGUUAAUUGAUGGGGUUAUCCGUAAGGAGAAGCUCUUGAUCGAAGCCCCGGUAAACGGCGGCCGUAACUAUAACGGUCCUAAGGUAGCGAAAUUCCUUGUCGGGUAAGUUCCGACCUGCACGAAUGGCGUAAUGAUGGCCAGGCUGUCUCCACCCGAGACUCAGUGAAAUUGAACUCGCUGUGAAGAUGCAGUGUACCCGCGGCAAGACGGAAAGACCCCGUGAACCUUUACUAUAGCUUGACACUGAACAUUGAGCCUUGAUGUGUAGGAUAGGUGGGAGGCUUUGAAGCGUGGACGCCAGUCUGCGUGGAGCCAACCUUGAAAUACCACCCUUUAAUGUUUGAUGUUCUAACGUUGGCCCCUGACCGGGGUUGCGGACAGUGUCUGGUGGGUAGUUUGACUGGGGCGGUCUCCUCCCAAAGCGUAACGGAGGAGCACGAAGGUUAGCUAAUCCUGGUCGGACAUCAGGAGGUUAGUGCAAUGGCAUAAGCUAGCUUGACUGCGAGCGUGACGGCGCGAGCAGGUGCGAAAGCAGGUCAUAGUGAUCCGGUGGUUCUGAAUGGAAGGGCCAUCGCUCAACGGAUAAAAGGUACUCCGGGGAUAACAGGCUGAUACCGCCCAAGAGUUCAUAUCGACGGCGGUGUUUGGCACCUCGAUGUCGGCUCAUCACAUCCUGGGGCUGAAGUAGGUCCCAAGGGUAUGGCUGUUCGCCAUUUAAAGUGGUACGCGAGCUGGGUUUAGAACGUCGUGAGACAGUUCGGUCCCUAUCUGCCGUGGGCGCUGGAGAAUUGAGGGGGGCUGCUCCUAGUACGAGAGGACCGGAGUGGACGCAUCACUGGUGUUCGGGUUGUCAUGCCAAUGGCACUGCCCGGUAGCUAAAUGCGGAAGAGAUAAGUGCUGAAAGCAUCUAAGCACGAAACUUGCCCCGAGAUGAGUUCUCCCUGAGACUUUAAGUCUCCUGAAGGAACGUUAAAGACGAUGACGUUGAUAGGCCGGGUGUGUAAGCGCAGCGAUGCGUUGAGCUAACCGGUACUAAUGAACCGUGAGGCUUAACCUU
rnacentral:rRNA from 1 species